rnacentral:tRNA from 1 species
AUUUUGUUAGUAUAAAUUAAGUAUAUUUGUUUUCCAAACAAGAGGUUUAUAUAUAGUAAACAAGAUA